rnacentral:rRNA from 1 species
UGUUUAACUGACAUGAUUGUGGGACGUCCUACCGGUGGAUUUAGCCUCUUUCUUUUCCGAGGGAGAGGCGGUCCAGCUAAUAUCCCAUCGCGGUGCUUUUCAUCGAGUGUCGAGGUGGGCCGGUACGUUUACUUUGAACAAAUUAGAGUGCUCAAAGCAGGCCAUCCUCGCCUGAAUACUGUGUGCAUGGAAUAAUGGAAUAGGAAACCUCACCAGGCCCGGACACCGGAAGGAUUGACAGAUUGAUAGCUCUUUCUUGAUUCGGUGGGUGGUGGUGCAUGGCCGUUCUUAGUUGGUGGAGCGAUUUGUCUGGUUAAUUCCGAUAACGAACGAGACUCUAGCCUGCUAAAUAGGCGUUACUUCUGGUAUCUCGAAGGCCCUCGGCUUCAGUCGAGCGGUUUUUACUACCGACGUACUAACAAAUCUUCUUAGAGGGACAGGCGGCGUCUAGCCGCACGAGAUUGAGCAAUAACAGGUCUGUAAUGCCCUUAGAUGUUCUGGGCCGCACGCGCGCUACACUGAAGGAAUCAGCGUGUCCUCCCUGACCGAAAGGUCCGGGUAACCCGCUGAACCUCCUUCGUGCUAGGGAUUGGGGCUUGCAAUUAUUCCCCAUGAACGAGGAAUUCCCAGUAAGCGCGAGUCAUAAGCUCGCGUUGAUUACGUCCCUGCCCUUUGUACACACCGCCCGUCGCUACUACCGAUUGAAUGAUUUAGUGAGGUCUUCGGACUGGUGCGCGGUAAUGUAAUUCUUACGUUGCCGAUUGCGCCGGGAAGAUGACCAAACUUGAUCAUUUAGAGGAAGUAAAAGUCGUAACAAGGUUUCCGUAGGUGA